rnacentral:miRNA from 1 species
UGAUUGUAGCCCUUUUGAGUAGA